ACGUAGGGUGCGAGCGUUAAUCGGAAUUACUGGGCGUAAAGCGUGCGCAGGCGGUUCGUUAAGACAGGUGUGAAAUCCCCGGGCUCAACCUGGGAACGGCGCUUGUGACUGGCGAACUGGAGUACGGCAGAGGGGGGUGGAAUUCCAGGUGUAGCGGUGAAAUGCGUAGAGAUCUGAAGGAACACCGAUGGCGAAGGCAGCCCCCUGGGCAGAUACUGACGCUCA
rnacentral:rRNA from 1 species